rnacentral:rRNA from 1 species
GACGAACGCUGGCGGCGUGCUUAACACAUGCAAGUCGAACGCUGAAGCUCAGCUUGCUGGGUGGAUGAGUGGCGAACGGGUGAGUAACACGUGAGUAACCUGCCCCCUUCUUUGGGAUAACGCCCGGAAACGGGCGCUAAUACUGGAUAUUCACUGAUCUUCGCAUGGGGGUUGGUGGAAAGGUUUGUUCUGGUGGGGGAUGGGCUCGCGGCCUAUCAGCUUGUUGGUGGGGUGAUGGCCUACCAAGGCUUUGACGGGUAGCCGGCCUGAGAGGGUGACCGGUCACAUUGGGACUGAGAUACGGCCCAGACUCCUACGGGAGGCAGCAGUGGGGAAUAUUGCACAAUGGGCGCAAGCCUGAUGCAGCGACGCCGCGUGAGGGAUGGAGGCCUUCGGGUUGUAAACCUCUUUCGCUCAUGGUCAAGCCGCAACAGUGGUUGUGGUGAGGGUAGUGGGUAAAGAAGCGCCGGCUAACUACGUGCCAGCAGCCGCGGUAAUACGUAGGGCGCGAGCGUUGUCCGGAAUUAUUGGGCGUAAGGGCUUGUAGGCGGUUGGUCGCGUCUGCCGUGAAAUCCUCUGGCUUAACUGGGGGCGUGCGGUGGGUACGGGCUGACUUGAGUGCGGUAGGGGAGACUGGAACUCCUGGUGUAGCGGUGGAAUGCGCAGAUAUCAGGAAGAACACCGGUGGCGAAGGCGGGUCUCUGGGCCGUUACUGACGCUGAGGAGCGAAAGCGUGGGGAGCGAACAGG